rnacentral:lncRNA from 1 species
CAGGCCCAGUCCCUCAGUGCCCUGCACAAGGAACAGGACUCAUCUUCUGAGAAGGAUGGAUGCAGCCCCAACAAAUGGGACAAGGACCACAUCCGGUGGCCCAUGAGUGGCGGUCAUGAUCUUCAGCAAGUGGCACCAGAUCCUGGCAGGGCGCACCAGGGUCACCCCAACCAGGAUAACCGGACCGUCAGCCAGAUCCUGAGCGAGCGGUGGUACACCCUGGGGCCCAAUGAGACGCAGAAGUACCACGACCUGGCCUUCCAGGUGAAGGUGGCCCACUUGCAACAAGGACCGAAAGAAGUCCAGCUCAGAGGCCAAGCCCACAAGCCAGGGGCUAGCAGGAGUGUACAAGGGCUCGUGGGAGCAGAGCAUAUCACAGACGGGCACUGCCACUGCCCCUGGGGUGUCCUCUGAACUCCUGUCAGUUGCAGCCCAGACACUCCAGAGCUCGGAUACCAAGGAGCAGCUUCUGUGGGGCAGAACGGCUGCACACAGUCAGGGAACCUGGCUCAGCCUGGCCCAAGCCUUCUCCCACAGGGGGGUACACAGCCUGGAUGGCAGGGAAAUAGACCAUCGGGCACUACAGGAACUGACACAGGUGGUGUCUGGCACUGCAUCAUACUCUGGCCCAAAGCCUUCUACUCAGUAUGGAGCUCCAGGCCACUUUGCAGCCCCUGGUGAGGGAGGUGACCAGUGGGCAGCCCUGCUGCUGCCCACCUAAGCUGCUCAUUCCCAGCACAUGGCCAGCGAGGUCAUAGCGAGUGACGAGGAGCACAUGGUCAUCCAUGAGGAGGAGGGGGUGAUGAUGUCAUUGCUGAUGACGGCUUUAGCACCACUGACACUGAUCUCAAGUUCAAGGAGUGGGUGACCGACUGAGAGUGGGGACAGCUCUGGGGAGGAGCCAGAGGGCAACAAGGGCUUUGGUGGGAAGGUAUUUGCACCUGUCAUUCCUUCUUCCUUUACUCCUGCCGCCCCUUGCUGGAUCCUGAGUCCCCCGGGUCCCCCGAUCCACCUGCAGUUUUUGGCAAAGUCUAUGGUCCCACCCCGUCCUCCUCCUACACAUACUCGGAUGCUUCCUCCUCAACCUUGGCACCCACCUCCUUCUUACUGGGCCCAGGAGCCUUCAAAGCCCAGGAGUCUGGUCAGGGCAGCAGAGCGGGCCCCCUACGGCCCCUACCCCUGGGGAUGGGGGCCCAGGGACGCCUUCCAAGGCGACCUGUUUCCUCCCAAUGGAUCCUGCCACCUUGUGGUGCAAGAGACCUGAAAGUGUGGGCGACCUGGAGCUACCAGGCCCCUCAGUCAUCGCAGUCCCUCCCAAC